GAGUUGGACGUUUUAGGAAAACUAAGUGAAAACCUUGUAAAAUUUUUAGAUUAUGUUUCUACAUUUAAGCAUCUACUGAGGGAGGUAGAGGGAAAGUCUAUCCAGUCAAACAUGGAGUGGCUAACCCAUGUAAAUAGUAUGCACCCCAGGUAUCAAAACCUAAAAUUCCCUGAACUCUUUUUAUUUAAAUUAAGAAAAUAUGAUUUUAAUCUCCCACCUCUAUAUUCUGGCUUAGACAGAAUUACCAAGCCAUUUAUUCUAGAUCCUGACACAACACAUCCUCAAUUUUUUCUCUGAGGACAGAAAAACUGUGUGAUAUGGAAUAAUAGUACCAAACAUUUGUUAUAACCAAAGGAUAUUUUAUUUCUGCCCAGCUGUCCUGGGCUCUUAGAAUUGUAGCUCUUCCUAGAAACUGGCAGGAUCAAUUGGGUGACAUAUGAAGAGUGGUUUCACUGGACCAGGUCCUAAGAAAACCUGGUUUCUGCCAGUAGUAAUACCUAGUAAGAUUUUUUUUUUGGACUAUGAAUUGGGUGAUUUUUUAAAUAAUAUAAAUGAUAGGUUUGUUCUGUUUAUUUUUAAUGAUUCUUUCAAAAUAGCUGUGUGGCUUUAUUUCUAUAAUGAAGUAAAUUCUGAAUGUCUUAUAAUCUGUUCAUUAUUGGAGAGUAAACAAUAA
rnacentral:lncRNA from 1 species